AGCUACUCCAGGAAACUGCAUUAGAAGUCAACUUCCUUUGCAGUCUCUGCUCCACGGCGGCGGUACCUCCGGCCCCGCAGGCCAGCGAAGACCCGCGUGGGCCUCCACCUGGAGCAAGGACUAGAGGCAUGUGUCUGAUUUCUGGUGUGAUCCUUGACCUCCGAUUCUCACAAUCCUGGAUCAGAGAGGACUCUUAUCAUCUCUUCCAGAAGAGAGCCUGUUUCCCAGGAAAUCAUCCUGCACAGUGUGGUAAAUGCCUCAGAAGUGGACACACAGAGGCAUGUGCUCUGGAGGUGUCUGUGUCACUGAGGUACCCUGAAGACACAUUGCGCUGGUGGACUUCUUCCGUGCAUUCAGGAGUUCAGAUGGACCGAUGUUUGUGGAGCCUUCCUGUGGGUCUGUAACAUGAGCCCCCUCCUUCCUGGACCUCUGCACCAGCCCAUCCCCUCUCCAAGGUAUUCACAGAAGCAAC
ensembl:lncRNA